rnacentral:rRNA from 1 species
UACGUAGGUGGCAAGCGUUAUCCGGAAUUAUUGGGCGUAAAGCGCGCGUAGGCGGUUUUUUAAGUCUGAUGUGAAAGCCCACGGCUCAACCGUGGAGGGUCAUUGGAAACUGGAAAACUUGAGUGCAGAAGGAAGGAAAGUGGAAUUCCAUGUGUAGCGGUGAAAUGCGCAGAGAUAUGGAGGAACACCAGUGGCGAAGGCGACUUUCUGGUCUGUAACUGACGCUGAUGUGCGAAAGCGUGGGGAUCAAACAGG